UUGUACUCUGCCUCUGACUCUCUUCCAAGAACAAUUUGGCAAGUUCUAAUCUACAUCUUGCAAAAAAAACAAAAAACAAAAAACAGAGAGGUAGGAGGGCCACAGCACCUGGGGUCCCAGAAGGCAGACUGACCUAUUCCUACAGCAGGGAGACAAGGUCUCAUUCUGUUGCCCAGGCUGGAGUGCAGUGGUGCAAUCACGGUUCACUGCGACCUGGAACUCCAGGGUUCAAGCAAUCCUCCUGCCUCAGCCUGCCGAGUAGCUGUGACAACAGGUGCGAGCCACCAUGCCCAGCUAAGAUUUCACCAUGUUGCCCAGCUGGUCUUGAACUCCUGGCCUCAAGCAAUUCUCCUGCUUCAGGCUCCCAAGUUGCUGGAAUUACAGGCUGCCUCCUCUGAGCCUUCCCAGAUUCUCAAUCUGUGAUGAAAUAGACAGAACACCAAGCUACCAGGAAGGGCACCUGCCUCCUAGAUCGGAAUCUUCAUCCAUUCGCACUUAGGUGAUCACUUGCCUUCGAGAGCCCCAUCCAGAAGACGGGAGUAAUGAGCCCUGCUCUGCCCAUCACGGGCCGCUAUGAGGAUGCAAAAGCACUUAGGAAAAGAAUUUAAAUGCUACACAGGCACACGAUAUUGUUACACACAGUCGAAGCUGGUGCAUCGGGCACUUCAUCAUCCAGAAACCUCUUUUAACUUACAAUGUGAGAUAAACUUAUAUACCUUUC
rnacentral:antisense_RNA from 1 species